ACACAUGCAGUCGUACGAUGGAAGCCCAGUCUUGCUGGGUGGAUUAGUGGCGAACGGGUGAGUAACACGUGAGUAACCUGCCCUUAACUCUGGGAUAAGCCUGGGAAACUAGGUCUAAUACCGGAUAGGAGCGCCUACCGCAUGGUGGGUGUUGGAAAGAUUUAUCGGUUUUGGAUGGACUCGCGGCCUAUCAGCUUGUUGGUGAGGUAAUGGCUCACCAAGGCGACGACGGGUAGCCGGCCUGAGAGGGUGACCGGCCACACUGGGACUGAGACACGGCCCAGACUCCUACGGGAGGCAGCAGUGGGGAAUAUUGCACAAUGGGCGAAGGCCUGAUGCAGCGACGCCGCGUGAGGGAUGACGGCCUUCGGGUUGUAAACCUCUUUCAGUAGGGAAGAAGCGAAAGUGACGGUACCUGCAGAAGAAGCACCGGCUAACUACGUGCCAGCAGCCGCGGUAAUACGUAGGGUGCGAGCGUUAUCCGGAAUUAUUGGGCGUAAAGAGCUCGGUAGGGCCGGUCUGGUUCGGCGUCCUGUCGUGAAAAGUUCCGGGGGCUUAAACCCCGGGAUCCUGCGGGUGGGGUACCGGGCCAGACUAGAAGUGCAGUAGGGGGAGACUUGGAAAUUCCUGCUGUAGCGGGUGGAAUGCGCAGAUAUCAGGAGGGAACACCGAUGGCGAAGGCAGGUCUCUGGGCUGUAAACUGACGCUGAGGAGCGAAAGCAUGGGGGAGCGAAACAGGAAUUAGAUACCCUGGGUAGUCCAUGCCGUAAACGUUGGGGCACUAGGUGUGGGGGACCCAUUCCACGGGGUUGCCGGCGCCCGCAGCUUAACGCAUUUAAGUGCCCCCGCCUUGGGGGAGUUACGGCCGUCAAGGCUUAAAAACUCAAAAGGAAUUUGGACGGGGGGGCCCCGCACCAAGCGGCGGAGCAUGCGGAUUAAUUCGAUGCAACGCGAAGAACCUUACCAAGGCUUGACAUGUUCUCGAUCGCCGUAGAGAUACGGUUUCCCCUUUGGGGCGGGUUCACAGGUGGUGCAUGGUUGUCGUCAGCUCGUGUCGUGAGAUGUUGGGUUAAGUCCCGCAACGAGCGCAACCCUCGUUCCAUGUUGCCAGCACGUAAUGGUGGGGACUCAUGGGAGACUGCCGGGGUCAACUCGGAGGAAGGUGAGGACGACGUCAAAUCAUCAUGCCCCUUAUGUCUUGGGCUUCACGCAUGCUACAAUGGCCGGUACAAUGGGUUGCGAUACUGUGAGGUGGAGCUAAUCCCAAAAAGCCGGUCUCAGUUCGGAUUGGGGUCUGCAACUCGACCCCAUGAAGUCGGAGUCGCUAGUAAUCGCAGAUCAGCAACGCUGCGGUGAAUACGUUCCCGGGCCUUGUACACACCGCCCGUCAAGUCACGAAAGUUGGUAACACCCGAAGCCGGU
rnacentral:rRNA from 1 species